AAAAUCUAGAAGAAACUAUGCUGUUUUACAAGAACCCAAAAGCUAGAACAAUUCAGUGCCUAAAUCAAUCAAGAACUCAAAAAAACCCAUAAGCCAAAAUGAAUCGAUCUUUAAUCAAUCAUUUAACAACCCCAAAGCCAAAAAUCAACUCUGAAGGAAUAAAUCUCCACCCAAAAUCAUGAAACUAAGGGAUUUGACAAAGAAGAGACAGGAAGUAAGCAAUACUCAACGGUGAAGACAAACGCAAUCACAAAUGCAUUCACACAGUCCACAACUGCAACCGCACUCGAUGGUAAAGACUCUCUUGCAGCGGCUGAUUUGAA
rnacentral:misc_RNA from 1 species